CAGACUUCCUCCGGCUGCCUGCUCUGUGCGCUCAGGUGUUCCUCUUGUCACUCCCUGUGCUUGGCCGAUAAAGAUGGAUCCAGGUCCAAAGGGGCACUGCCAUGGUGGUGGCCCUGGCCCAGGGCACCCCCCAGGAACCUGUGGGCACCCUCCUGGCCAUGGCCCAGAGCACGGUCCUGGGGGGAAACAUCCCCCAGGACCCUGUGGGAACCCCCCUGGCCAUGGCCCAGAGCACUUUCCUGGGGAGAAACACCCCCCAGGGCACCCUGGGCCCCCACCUGGUCCACAUCACUAAGGAAGCAGAAGAAAGAGGACACGAGAAUGGGAAGCCUGCGUUGGGUUGCCUUGCUGACCUGGCGUGGAGGCCGAAGCAGAAUCUUCUCUUCCUAAUAAACAGCC